AAAAAAAAAAAAAAAAAAAAACGCAAUGAUUAGAAAUGUAUCCCUCAUAAUAGGCUCUAUUGCAGACUCUACUAUAAAGGCUGUGGUUACACGACAGACUUUAAAUUCUCCUUUGAAAUAAAAUUGCUCUAGAUUAUAAACUGGCUAAACAGAGAAGUAUCUGAGGAACUGCCAGCACUUGUGGCCUAUGGAGAAAUAUAUCAAAUGUAGAUUAUAGAUAUUCAGGUACAGAAGAUUAACAAAAAGACAGCUGAGUUAAUUGAGUGGCCCCUUAUCUAGUUCACUCUUUACUUAACUUUAGGUGGUUUGGUUUAUGGGGACCCUGGGUGAGAAGCAUAUACCAAAUUCUUGGUAUUAUUCUCCUAAUAGUCAUAAUAGAUUUCCUA
rnacentral:lncRNA from 1 species